rnacentral:misc_RNA from 1 species
GAUGAAGAACGCAGCGAAAUGCGAUACUUGGUGUGAAUUGCAGAAUCCCGUGAACCAUCGAGUCUUUGAACGCAAGUUGCGCCCGAAGCCAUUAGGCCGAGGGCACGCCUGUCUGGGUGUCACACGUCGUUGCCCCCCCAUCUACUCCUUCGGGAUUGCGGGGGGCGGAUGAUGGCCUCCCGUGCGCCUCGUCGCGCGGUUGGCAUAAAUGCCAAGUCCUCGGCGACGCACGCCACGACAAUCGGUGGUUGCGAAACCUCGGUUGCCCGUCGUGUGCGGUCGUCGCGCAUCGAGGGCUCGAAAAAAUUGCCGGGCUCCGGCUCGGCUUUCAACGCGACCCCAGGUCAGGCGGGGUUACCCGCUGAAUUUAAGCAUAUCAAUAAGCGGAGGA